CACAAACCAAGUCAUGCCACUGGGACCAUCGUGUGUCAUCUGAGCUAGCUGGGCCAUGCCAACUCCUACUCCAUCUUCUGCUUUUCCCUGCAUUCCUCAGGAAUGAGAGCUUCUGUGUGAGCAUUCAUAAGACAUCCUGCAUUCACGUCCACUGAUGUGUUUUCUUUUUUAAAAAACUAUGCACAUUUUAUUAGGAAUGUUUCAACCACAUAGAAAACAUAUAAUAGAAACCAAUAUAGACACCACAUAGACGUGGGCCAUGUUAACAUUCUACCGUUUGCUCAUUUUUUAAAUAAAACCUUUAUGAAGACAUUCACAUAGCAUGCUUUCACUCAUUGAAAUUGUACAAUUUGGGUUUUUCAUAGAAUUUGCCACCAUCACCACAUUAAAUAUAUUUAUAGAAUUUGCAACCAUCACUGCAUUAAGUCUACUUAUAGAAUUUGUAAGCAUCAUCACUAUAAACUUUAGAACAUUUUUAUCACCUCAAAAAGAAAACCCCUAGGCUGGGUGCAGUGGCUCACGCCUGUAAUCCCAACACUUUGGGAGGCCGAGGUGAGUGAAUCACUUGAGGUCAGGAGUUCGAGACCAGCCUGGCCAACAUGGCGA
rnacentral:lncRNA from 1 species